ACUCAAAGGAAUUGACGGGGGCCCGCACAAGCGGAGGAGCAUGUGGUUUAAUUCGAUGAUACGCGAGGAACCUUACCUGGGCUAGAACCGGCGCUGACGGUAUGUGAAAGCAUACCUCCCUUCGGGGCGGCGUUGGAGGUGCUGCAUGGUUGUCGUCAGCUCGUGCCGUGAGGUGUCGGAUUAAGUUCCAUAACGAGCGCAACCCCUACUGUUAGUUGCCAGCAAGUGAAGUUGGGGACUCUAGCAGGACUGCCGGCGCAAGCCGAGAGGAAGGUGGGGAUGACGUCAAAUCAGCACGGCCCUUAUGUCCAGGGCUACACACGUGCUACAAUGGUCGGUACAGAGGGCAGCUACUUGGCAACAAGAUGCGAAUCUCGAAAACCGGUCUCAGUUCGGAUCGAAGUCUGCAACUCGACUUCGUGAAGUUGGAUUCGCUAGUAAUCGCGCAUCAGCCAUGGCGCGGUGAAUACGUUCCCGGGCCUUGUACACACCGCCCGU
rnacentral:rRNA from 1 species